CACAACACUGAAAAUCCACACUGAAAACAACAGUCCCCCGGUCCAUUUUUGUCCGAAAUUUUGAACCGAGAGGUUGGCUCGGGACCAGCACACCGUGGAGAAGAAGAAGAAGAAGCAGGCAGCGAACGGCGGACAUCGGCCACGGCGACGACGCAACAACAGUGACGACGACGGCGACGUUUUGUUGUUGUUGCUACUGCUGCUUAUCCAGUCCAAAUGUCAGCUGUUUCACGCAACAUGUACCAUAAAAGCGGCACAGCCACAGCCAAACGCAGAAAAAGAGCUUAUCGAUCAAGCCCCGCAGGACAAGAGAAAAAGCAAAAACAAGAGGCACCCGAGCGCUGCUAACAACGUAAACAACAA
rnacentral:sRNA from 1 species